AGCAGUAGGGAAUCUUCCACAAUGGACGAAAGUCUGAUGGAGCAACGCCGCGUGAGUGAAGAAGGUUUUCGGCUCGUAAAGCUCUGUUGUUGGUGAAGAAGGAUAGAGGGAGUAACUGUCCUGGAAUUGACGGUAAUCAACCAGAAAGCCACGGCUAACUACGUGCCAGCAGCCGCGGUAAUACGUAGGUGGCAAGCGUUGUCCGGAUUUAUUGGGCGUAAAGCGAGCGCAGGCGGAAGAAUAAGUCUGAUGUGAAAGCCCUC
rnacentral:rRNA from 2 species